UACAGAGGUGGCAAGCGUUGUUCGGAAUUACUGGGCGUAAAGGGCGCGUAGGCGGCCUACUAAGUCAGACGUGAAAUCCCCCGGCUUAACCGGGGAACUGCGUCUGAUACUGGAUGGCUUGAGGUUGGGAGAGGGAUGCGGAAUUCCAGGUGUAGCGGUGAAAUGCGUAGAUAUCUGGAGGAACACCGGUGGCGAGGGCGGCAUCCUGGACCAAUUCUGACACUGAGGAGCGAAAGCCAGGGGAGCAAACGGG
rnacentral:rRNA from 1 species